rnacentral:rRNA from 1 species
UAUUGCACAAUGGAGGAAACUCUGAUGCAGCGACGCCGCGUGAGCGAUGAAGUAUUUCGGUAUGUAAAGCUCUAUCAGCAGGGAAGAUAAUGACGGUACCUGACUAAGAAGCUCCGGCUAAAUACGUGCCAGCAGCCGCGGUAAUACGUAUGGAGCAAGCGUUAUCCGGAUUUACUGGGUGUAAAGGGAGCGUAGGCGGUCUUGCAAGUCUGAAGUGAAAACCCUGGGCUCAACCCUGGGAUUGCUUUGGAAACUGUAGGACUGGAGUGUCGGAGGGGCAUGUGGAAUUCCUGGUGUAGCGGUGAAAUGCGUAGAUAUCAGGAGGAACACCAGUGGCGAAGGCGGCAUGCUGGACGAUAACUGACGCUGAUGCUCGAAAGCGUGGGGAGCAAACAGG